rnacentral:rRNA from 1 species
UCAUUUCAACCCUCGAACCCCUCCGGGGGGUCGGCGUUGGGGAUCGGGAACCCCUAAGACGGGAUCCCGGCCCCGAAAUACAGUGGCGGUCUCGCCGCAGCCUCUCCUGCGCAGUAGUUUGCACAACUCGCACCGGGAGCGCGGCGCGUCCACGUCCGUAAAACACCCAACUUCUGAAAUGUUGACCUCGGA